GCCUCCUGCAAACAUCAAAGUAUAGGAGGUCUUGCCUGCCCAGUGACAAGUUAAACGGCCGCGGUAUUUUGACCGUGCAAAGGUAGCGCAAUCACUUGUCUUUUAAAUGAAGACCUGUAUGAAUGGUGGAACGAGGGCUUAACUGUCUCCCCUUUCAAGUCAAUAAAAUUGAUCUGCCCGUGCAGAAGCGGACAUAAAAAUACAAGACGAGAAGACCCUUUGGAGCUUAAGAUACAAGAUCACCUAUGUCAAUACACCAAAACCCAAGUUAAACUAAAUAGUAUCUGAUCCCUAUCUUCGGUUGGGGCGACCACGGAAGAAAAUAAAGCUUCCAUGCGGACAGGGAUUACCAAACCCUAAAACCAAGAAAGACAUUUCCAAGCAACAGAACAUCUGACCAAAAAGAUCCGGCGGCCCCCCGCCGAUCAACGGACCAAGUUACCCUAGGGAUAACAGCGCAAUCCCCUUUCAGAGUCCAUAUCGACAAGGGGGUUUACGACCUCGAUGUUGGAUCAGGACAUCCUAAUGGUGCAGCAGCUAUUAAGGGUUCGUUUGUUCAACGAUUAAAGUCCU
rnacentral:rRNA from 1 species